rnacentral:rRNA from 1 species
UACGGGGGGGGCAAGCGUUGUUCGGAAUUACUGGGCGUAAAGGGCUCGUAGGCGGCCAACUAAGUCAGACGUGAAAUCCCUCGGCUUAACCGGGGAACUGCGUCUGAUACUGGAUGGCUUGAGUUUGGGAGAGGGAUGCGGAAUUCCAGGUGUAGCGGUGAAAUGCGUAGAUAUCGAGAGGAACACCGGUGGCGAAGGCGGCCUGCUGGGACAUGGCUGACGCUGAGGCGCGACAGCGUGGGGAGCAAACAGG